UGGUAACUACAAUCUAAUGUGAUCAAGUUAUUUAUUUGCUUUAAAUAUACAAACAUCAGUUUUCAUUUUUUUGAGUGCAUAGACUAGUCAUAAUUUACAUGGAGAUAUCUGGAAUUCACGUUUUAGAUAGUUAAAACUGAAUUGUAGAUAUCUUUAUUUGGAGUUCCAUAAUGGCGAAAUCUUACUAGUCAAAAUGUAAGUAGAGAUAUCUUAAAUUAGCGUUUUGACUAGUCAUAAAUGAAUUACAGAUAUCUGUAAUGUGAAUCCGGACAGGCUAUUAGAUGUUAAAAGGGCUUGCCAUAGUACAGUAAUCCUGUCCACGUGCGACGUAGCAAUCUUGUGCCACUACUUCUGCACCGUUUUAUCGGGCUAUUCCCAAAUUACAGGAAAACUACAGGAAAACAUCCAAUUUUAAGUUUCUAUUCCUCAGAAGUGACCUGACUCCAUGCAUUUGAACGCGGUUACGCCUCUCAGGCUCAGUGUAUAUAAAACGGUCGCAAGUAGGCUACGUUACCCAUUGACUGCCUGCACCAUACAGGAAACAAUGAAACCGCUAGUCACUCUCGCCCUUGCGUGCGCACUCUUCUCUGGAGUUACAGCAUUGCUCAGAUCCCCCAAUGGAAAGAAGUGUUUUACCUGUGUGGGUAAUGACUGCACAAGUACUUGGGAGUGCAAGGGAUCUGAAGAUCGCUGCUUUAAGUCCACAGUGUUCACUGGAGGGCACAAAGUGACACGGAAGGGAUGUGCCUCCCAAAUUUUCUGCUCAGGAUCCAUGAAUUCUAAUGUAGAAAUCAUUGGUGUGGACGUGAGCUGCUGUGAGGGAAACAUGUGCAACAACGCCCUGCGAAUCGGACAGAGUGUCCUCUUCUUCCUCUUGGUGCCCCUGGCCUCCGUCAUCCUCUUCAACUGAGCAGCAUGUUGACCUGUUAUAUGAUUGUUUGGUUGUGUUGUAUCAAUCCAGACACAUGAUUACACCUUUUAGUGAAUACAUUAUAUAACAUUUCUUCUCAUCAAUAAAACAAAAUAAAAAAUAUUAGUGCAAAA